CUCUNGGGUGGGGUAAUUCUUAUGUGUUCCUCCCUUCACAGGGCAGAUAGGGAAUGAUGGCUGGAAGUCCAGUCAUGUGUGAUUAGCAUCUCUGCAUGAUGGAGACUUGCAACCCUGAUCACUCCCACCUGAA
rnacentral:snoRNA from 1 species